UACAGAGGGGGCAAGCGUUGUUCGGAAUUACUGGGCGUAAAGGGCGCGUAGGCGGCCUGUUAAGUCGAACGUGAAAUCCCCGGGCUCAACCCGGGAACUGCGUCCGAUACUGGAAGGCUUGAAUCCGGGAGAGGGAUGCGGAAUUCCAGGUGUAGCGGUGAAAUGCGUAGAUAUCUGGAGGAACACCGGUGGCGAAGGCGGCAUCCUGGACCGGCAUUGACGCUGAGGCGCGAAAGCCAGGGGAGCAAACGGG
rnacentral:rRNA from 1 species